rnacentral:rRNA from 1 species
UACGUAGGGUGCGAGCGUUGUCCGGAAUUAUUGGGCGUAAAGGGCUCGUAGGCGGUUUGUCGCGUCGGGAGUGAAAACAUCCAGCUUAACUGGGUGCUUGCUUUCGAUACGGGCAGACUUGAGGUAUGCAGGGGAGAAUGGAAUUCCUGGUGUAGCGGUGAAAUGCGCAGAUAUCAGGAGGAACACCGGUGGCGAAGGCGGUUCUCUGGGCCGAUACUGACGCUGAGGAGCGAAAGCGUGGGGAGCGAACAGG